rnacentral:rRNA from 1 species
GACGAACGCUGGCGGCGUGCCUAAUACAUGCAAGUAGAACGCUGAAGGAGGAGCUUGCUUCUCUGGAUGAGUUGCGAACGGGUGAGUAACGCGUAGGUAACCUGCCUGGUAGCGGGGGAUAACUAUUGGAAACGAUAGCUAAUACCGCAUAAUAGCAGUUAUUGCAUGAUAACUGUUUGGAAGGUGCAAUUGCACCACUACCAGAUGGACCUGCGUUGUAUUAGCUAGUUGGUGGGGUAACGGCUCACCAAGGCGACGAUACAUAGCCGACCUGAGAGGGUGAUCGGCCACACUGGGACUGAGACACGGCCCAGACUCCUACGGGAGGCAGCAGUAGGGAAUCUUCGGCAAUGGACGGAAGUCUGACCGAGCAACGCCGCGUGAGUGAAGAAGGUUUUCGGAUCGUAAAGCUCUGUUGUAAGAGAAGAACGAGUGUGGGAGUGGAAAGUUCACACUGUGACGGUAUCUUACCAGAAAGGGACGGCUAACUACGUG